ACGGCUCAGUAACACGUGGACAACCUACCCUAUGGAGGGGGAUAACCCCGGGAAACUGGGGAUAAUACCCCAUAGACUAUAGAUGCUGGAAUGCUUUGUAGUUGAAAGGUCCGCCGCCAUAGGAUGGGUCUGCGGCCGAUUAGGUUGUUGUUGGGGUAACGGCCCAACAAGCCUGUAAUCGGUACGGGUUGUGGGAGCAAGAGCCCGGAGAUGGAUUCUGAGACACGAAUCCAGGCCCUACGGGGCGCAGCAGGCGCGAAAACUUUACAAUGCGGGAAACCGUGAUAAGGGAACUCCGAGUGCCCGUAAAAUCGGGCUGUCCAUCUGUUUAAAUAACAGGUGAAGAAAGGGCCGGGCAAGACCGGUGCCAGCCGCCGCGGUAAUACCGGCGGCUCGAGUGGUGGCCACUAUUACUGGGCUUAAAGCGUUCGUAGCUGGUCUGUUAAGUCUCUGGGGAAAUCUACUGGCUUAACCAAUAGGCGUCUCAGGGAUACUGGCAGACUAGGGACCGGGAGAGGUGAGAGGUACUCCAGGGGUAGGAGUGAAAUCCUGUAAUCCUUGGGGGACCACCUGUGGCGAAGGCGUCUCACCAGAACGGCUCCGACAGUGAGGGACGAAAGCUGGGGGAGCAAACCGGAUUAGAUACCCGGGUAGUCCCAGCCGUAAACGAUGCGCGUUAGGUGUAUCGGUGACCACGAGUCACCGACGUGCCGAAGAGAAAUCGUGAAACGUGCCGCCUGGGAAGUACGGUCGCAAGGCUGAAACUUAAAGGAAUUGGCGGGGGAGCAC
rnacentral:rRNA from 1 species